AAGACGUUGUUCCAAGAACAGGUGUAAACUUCUAAACUAAACCUAAAGUUCUGCUGUGAAAAUGGGUGACACAGUCAAACUAAACCGCCGUCCCGAGGAAAGCAGCGUGCAGAAGUAUUUUACGUUCGUUCUGUGGAUAAGAAAGGAAUACAUCUGCUGACUCACGCACCUGUUAGCUUAGCUGUUAGCUCAACCUGAGCGAAGCAGCAGAGGAAGAGGAGGAGGAACCAUAGAUAAACACAACCACCGAGCAACUUCACUGGAAUAAAAAUGCUGCUGUGCUGAGCGAGGAACCCACUGGGAGGAGAGAGGAAAAUAGCGGACAACUCAUUUCUCUCUAACACCCUCGGAAGCCGAGGAGCUGUGAGCCAGACUAGAGUCGACUGCAGGACUCACUGGGAUUGAAUACAUGCUCAAUUUGAGCGCUUGCCGAGCUGGACACCAAAUGGGCAAUAUGGACGCCAACAUGCUCCCUCCAGCAUCGAGCUUUCCACACUUAACUGCCUCCACCAAGUCUGGGCAUCAGCUUGAACCAUCCCAGUGAGGGCUCAUCGUGUAGAGUUAAGGCUGGAAAGGCCAGUCUGUGAUUCCAGAAGCUGUCCCCAAGAAAUAGAGAGAGAGAGAGAGAGAAGCAGCUACAGCCUUAGAGGAAUCAACUUACAGCAAACCAAUCAACCUGUUGAGCUUUUUCACGAAACCGCAGUGAUGCUUGAGCAAUGGUAUGGAGCUUUCAGACACAUGCGGAUUUAUCGACUGGAUAUCCUGUUGAGAUUAUGACAAUUUUGUGCACACCUCAGAGCUAGGCCACUUUGCCAGAUUGGCUUGUGGGCAAAAGCGAGUAAUUGAAAAUCCCCCCUCAAGAGGCAUCCUGCUCUAAUUUGAUGUGAAGGAGGAGAGUGUGUGUUUUUUUUAAAUGUACAAUUAAAAAAACAAUUCAUCCCAAUAUUUUUUUUCAGCAUCUUUUUCACACAUUGUGGAAAAAUACAUUCUAAAGCAGCUCAUUCUUCCUCUGUGACAGAGAGUGAAGAGGGACAGACUGUCCGGAAUAGAUAACGAGCGAGGAGACCGGCGGAAAUAGAGGAGCUGGAAAAGAAAAGGAAACGAGUGGAGAGAGAAAGUCCGGAGAAAGACAAGAGAAGAAAAAAAGAGAAUUAACCAGGAUUGUUUGAAACCCUCUCUGACAAUCCUUCUUAUUCAUCUGUGCAGAGUUGGAGGCUAGUUUGUGCAAUGGACAUGGGAGGGGUCAGGAUUUACAGCAGGGGGGGCACUUGAGCAGCAGAAUAUGGUCCCCCUGUACCUGCCUGAUUUGCUUCUUAGUGUUUGGCAGGAAAACAGACUGAGAGAGGGCUGGUAAACAUACAGCUGUACUGAAUGACAGACAGGCUCUAAGGUUGGUCAGACAGACAGACAGACAGACAGGAGGACAGGAAGACACGGCCUGUUCCGAGUGUCAGGCAGAGAGCCAGGCAGACAUCCAGUGUCGGUGCAGUAGACGGCCUGCAAUCCAUUGUCAUUCUGUACAGUGAGCGAGGAAAGGAGAAGAGGAGCAUUCCUGCGUUUUGAAGAAUCUCACUUCCUCUGCAUCCACUUCUGGUUCUGAUGUAGCAGCCCAUGCUCUAAAAAACAGACUUGGAGGGAGGAGGCUGUUACUAGAAAGGAAAUACAGGUUGUAGAGGGAGAGAGAAAGGAAGGUAGGUAGAGAAACUGAGGGAGAGAGCAGGUGUUGAAAAUCCUCCCCUUCAUCUGCUUGUCAUUUACUCCUUUAUGUUCCCUUGUCGUCUGGCGAGGUGAUUGGUUUCCUGACGCUGGCGUUCCUCUACUCAUAGGCCCAUCGCUAUCCUGAGGAAAACACGAGGUGGGCAAACACAGGAAAGCAGAAAGAGAAAGCAGUAAAGGAAACAGUGGAGCCUUGUUGUGACCCUUCCCUUUCUUUUAUGUCAAGAUGGACUCUUAUUUUUUUCCUGCUUUUUAGAAGAAAGAGAUCAUAAGAAGACACACAGUGGGCCAGUCAACACCUCAUCCCCC